GUGGGGAAUAUUGGACAAUGGGCGCAAGCCUGAUCCAGCCAUGUCGCGUGAGUGAUGAAGGCCCUAGGGUUGUAAAGCUCUUUCACCGGAGAAGAUAAUGACGGUAUCCGGAGAAGAAGCCCCGGCUAACUUCGUGCCAGCAGCCGCGGUAAUACGAAGGGGGCUAGCGUUGUUCGGAAUUACUGGGCGUAAAGCGCACGUAGGCGGACAUUUAAGUCAGGGGUGAAAUCCCGGGGCUCAACCCCGGAACUGCCUUUGAUACUGGGUACCUAGAGUAUGGAAGAGGUAAGUGGAAUUCCGAGUGUAGAGGUGAAAUUCGUAGAUAUUCGGAGGAACACCAGUGGCGAAGGCGGCUUACUGGUCCAUUACUGACGCUGAGGUGCGAAAGCGUGGGGAGCAAACAGGAUUAGAAACCCCAGUAGUCC
rnacentral:rRNA from 1 species